AAAAAGACGAACUCUGGAUUUCCGUGUCCAACUUUGACUGUUUGUCUUAUAUGAAAUUUUUUUAUAAUUCGUAUUUUCAUUGUUGUUAGAUGAUAAAACAUGAUUAAUAUUUUAUGCGUAACUUAUCUUUUUGUUUUUUUUUCAUAAUUUUUUCAAAUAAGACGAACGGUCAAACGUUGGGCACGGAAACCAGGGUUUAUCUUUUU
rfam:Oryza sativa Japonica Group DNA, chromosome 9, cultivar: Nipponbare, complete sequence.